UACCGGAACCGGCCCUAAAAGAGAGUAAGGACACCAUCCAGAUAACAUUCCUGUUGGAUAAUAAACUAAGAACCUUACUGCUGCAAGGCAAGCCUAAAGAAGGUAAUGUUUUAUUAUUAUUAUUAUUAUUAUUAUUAUUAUAAUACAGGAUUUAUAAAGUGCUGACAAUUUACGCAGCGCUUUACAACAGAAAAUUUAGGGAGUCCUGCUCGUUAAAGCUUACAAUCUAAGAGGUAGGUUUAUGGGCCGAUGGAGAAUGUACAGUUGUCAGGUGGGGGCCAGAUAGGCUUCUCUAAAGAUAUGUGUUUUCAGGGAUCGUCUGAAAGUGGAAAAAGUAGGAGACAGUCGAACAGAUUGGGGAGGAGCAUUCCAGAGGAUGGGAGAGGCUCUGGAGAAGUCCCAGAGGCGAGUGUGGAAUAAGGUGACAAAGGAGGUAGAGGGCAGGAGGUCUUGGGGGGAACUAAGAGAACAAUUUGGUUGGUACUUUGAGAUUGGUUAGUAAUGUAGAUGGUGGCCAAGUUGUGGAUGGCUUUGUAAGUUAUUGUUAGUAUCUUGAAUUUAAUUUGUUGGGUGAGUGGUAGCCAAUGGAGGGAUUGGCAAAGAGGGGUAGCAGAUGCAGAGCGGUUCGUAAGGUGGAUGAGCCUGGCAGCAGCAUUCCUGAUGGACUGAAGGGGGGAUAACCUAUUUAAAGGUAAGCCAAUGAGGUGGGAGUUGCAGUAGCUGAAUUGAGAGAUGACCAGGUAGUGGAUUAGAAGCUUUGUGGUGACAUUAGUUAGGAAGGGGCUUAUCUUGGAGUUGUUGCAGAGGUUGAGGUGGCAAGCUUUCUACAGUGGUUGGAUGUGGGAAUGAAAGGAUAGUUCAGAGUCCAGGAUUACACCUAGGACCUUGGCAUGGGGGGACAGUCUGAUAGUUGAGCUGUUGAUUUUGACAGAAAAAUCAGGGGAAGAGGCACGUGGGGAAGGAAAUGUUAUGAGCUUGGUUUUGAAUUGGUUGAGUUUGCUGAAGUGAUGUUACAUCCAGGCUGAUAUAUCUGUUAGUAAGUUGGUGAUGUGUGAG